CCUACGGGUGGCAGCAGUGGGGAAUAUUGGACAAUGGGCGAAAGCCUGAUCCAGCCAUGCCGCGUGUGUGAAGAAGGCCUUCGGGUUGUAAAGCACUUUCAGUGGGGAAGAAAGCCUUGGGGCUAAUACCCUCGAGGAAGGACAUCACCCACAGAAGAAGCACCGGCUAACUCCGUGCCAGCAGCCGCGGUAAUACGGAGGGUGCGAGCGUUAAUCGGAAUUACUGGGCGUAAAGCGCGCGUAGGCGGUCUGAUAAGCCGGUUGUGAAAGCCCCGGGCUCAACCUGGGAACGGCAUCCGGAACUGUCAGGCUAGAGUGCAGGAGAGGAAGGUAGAAUUCCCGGUGUAGCGGUGAAAUGCGUAGAGAUCGGGAGGAAUACCAGUGGCGAAGGCGGCCUUCUGGACCGACACUGACGCUGAGGUGCGAAAGCGUGGGUAGCAAACAGGAUUAGAUACCCUGGUAGUC
rnacentral:rRNA from 1 species